UCGCGGAUUUCACACGGACAGUCGGAGCAAUAGGAAAUUCGAAUCUACGCAAACUGCGGAGCUCCGAGGCUCGGUGCUAGUUUUGUUCCAAGAAAGGGCGCCGCGGGGGAGUUGGGGCGGCUUCUAACGCAUGCGUGGAGCGCCCUGUACCCAUCGCCUUUCCUCCCGGCUUCGCUUGUCGGUUGCUGCGGCCCCGGGGAGGCGGAUGAGUAAUCGAAGCUCUAAGGCAAAAUGCUUUAGCCAAAAGCUUUCAAAUUGACUCCUCAGGACAAGGGGCCAUGGAAGUUGUAGUCACCAGCAAGGCCCACUCAAGGCCCAACAUAGUGCCCUCAAGGGCUCUGUUUUGAAUGAAUGGAACACCAGGACCAGCUGCUUAGCAUGUAGGUCCCAGUGCAAAAUGAAAACAUGGGAUCCCUGACCAAAAGAAUUAAGAAUUACAAGACGGCAACAGCAGAGCAACAAACCAAGCACAGGCCCUUCUGAGCGUGGGGUCCUAU